GGAAGGGAUGAAUUAAAAGGCACAAGCAGCGGUGAAAGGCCACGAGCGGCAAUGUGACUGAAUUCCAUCGUGUUAUUCUAAACCUAAACACUGUAGUCUGACUGUAGACCAUCUGAUCAUGCGCGGGUUUCUACCAUCGAUCUGCACCGCGGAAACAUAACCUUACGAGCAUCGCUGGAAGAACCGAGAGAAUAAUUUAUUUUGUUCAGGAGAUUGAUAAGAACCUGAGGGAAGGUCUACCGCGUCACCUAUGUCUAUUGCCUCGUCGCCCUUAACAGCGGUAUCUAUGGUGAAUGAUUCGGAUACGUUCAACUGGCACAGUGGAAUAGCUUCGAGCGAAGUAAACACACCGAACACAAACUGCUCUUUCACCUGCAAUUAACAUUAAUAUUGUAGCGUUGUCUCCCCCUAAGAAAAGGCUUCGCAAAACGA